GACGAACGCUGGCGGCGUGCUUAACACAUGCAAGUCGGACGAAGAGCGAUGGAAGCUUGCUUCUAUCAAUCUUAGUGGCGAACGGGUGAGUAACGCGUAAUCAACCUGCCCUUCAGAGGGGGACAACAGUUGGAAACGACUGCUAAUACCGCAUACGAUCUAAUCUCGGCAUCGAGGAUAGAUGAAAGGUGGCCUCUACAUGUAAGCUAUCACUGAAGGAGGGGAUUGCGUCUGAUUAGCUAGUUGGAGGGGUAACGGCCCACCAAGGCGAUGAUCAGUAGCCGGUCUGAGAGGAUGAACGGCCACAUUGGGACUGGGACACGGCCCAGACUCCUACGGGAGGCAGCAGUGGGGAAUCUUCCGCAAUGGACGAAAGUCUGACGGAGCAACGCCGCGUGAGUGAUGACGGCCUUCGGGUUGUAAAGCUCUGUUAAUCGGGACGAAAGGCCUUCUUGCGAAUAGUGAGAAGGAUUGACGGUACCGGAAGAGAAAGCCACGGCUAACUACGUG
rnacentral:rRNA from 1 species